UACGUAGGGUGCAAGCGUUAAUCGGAAUUACUGGGCGUAAAGCGUGCGCAGGCGGUUUCGUAAGUCUGUCGUGAAAUCCCCGGGCUUAACCUGGGAAUUGCGAUGGAGACUGCGAGGCUAGAGUUUGGCAGAGGGGGGUAGAAUUCCACGUGUAGCAGUGAAAUGCGUAGAGAUGUGGAGGAACACCGAUGGCGAAGGCAGCCCCCUGGGUCAAGAUUGACGCUCAUGCACGAAAGCGUGGGGAGCAAACAGG
rnacentral:rRNA from 1 species